GCUGGCGCUUCCGCUCACUGCCAGGCCGCGCCGUGGACACUGGUCGUAGCCUACUGUUCGAGGUCGAAUUGAAUGAAGAGCAUUGGGUUGAACGUCAAAGUUCGCCCUGCUGUGUGCAGUUAAACUGCUAAAGUGGCGCUGUAAACCAGCCCGUGUUCCUGGUAGCGAGAAUCGCCGUGGCGUGGUGGCUCCCCGGUGAUGGUUCUGAACUAUAUGCCUGCCAGUACAUUCCAAGCUAUCACAUCCGUGAUCUUCGACCAGUGAUCAGCGGUGCGCGAUGCGUCCUUCCGUCAGCUGCUGUUUUGAUUGAGAGAAGAUUCAGCCCGUUUUGUUUUGUUUUGUUUUAUUUGAGUUACAUGUGGUCUACUUUAUGUUUGUUUCGUCGUGCUUGCGCUGUGUUUACGGUGGGUGGCUGUUGUUGCAACUCCGCCUCCCCUCCCCUGCACAGUGUGCUUGUGCGCCGGCGCGCGCUCUCCGGCCCAAUUAACCGCUGAAUAGUAUCCAGUGGCAGCACGAAACCCCAUGGACUGACCCGUGUGCUGUGCCUUAUAUUUAACUUUCCCCUUGUGUGCUGUGUAUUGCAUGUUUCUUCUUAGACGUGUAGUGUGUGCCUUUUGAUUUCAUUUGUGACUUUAUUUUAAGUGUGAUUUGCGUUGCUUUAAUUCUCUUGUCAUCUGGGGAUCAUCGGUUGCCUAUUGGUUCCUGUAAAGCCUAUCUGCGGCUAGGAGUGUGUGUGUCGUCUGUGUGAAUGUGAACCCUUUUUAAUGUUGCCUCUUUGUACAGUGUUGCAUUUGUGGAGAUGUAUAUAGCUUGGUCCAAUAUGUAAUUAAUAAAAACUAUUGUAAUUGGGA